UUUAACCGCCCAAAUAUUCUAAAAGCACCAGAUUUCAUCUGACCUUGGAAGCUAAGCAGUGAGAGUUCUAGUCAAUAUUUGGAUGGGGGAGCACCAAGGAAUACAAGAUGCUGUUGGCU
rnacentral:rRNA from 1 species